rfam:Triticum aestivum genome assembly, contig: Triticum_aestivum_CS42_TGACv1_scaffold_643861_T_6BS-0.140300_5DL-0.099737
UUCCUACUCCCUCCGUUCCUAAAUAUUUGUCUUUCUAGGGAUAUCAACAAGUGACUACAUACGAAGCAAAAUGAGUGAAUCAACACAAUAAAAUAUGUCUAUAUACAUCCGUAUGUAGUCACUUGUUUAAAUCUCUAGAAAGACAAGUAUUUAGGAACGGAGGGAGUAGAUC